rnacentral:rRNA from 1 species
GAUGAACGCUGGCGGCGUGCCUAAUACAUGCAAGUCGAGCGAACAGAUGAGGAGCUUGCUCCUCUGACGUUAGCGGCGGACGGGUGAGUAACACGUGGAUAACCUACCUAUAAUACUGGUAUAACUUCGGGAAACCGGAGCUAAUACCGGAUAAUAUAUUGAACCGCAUGGUUCAAUAGUGAAAGACGGUUUUGCUGUCACUUAUAGAUGGAUCCGCGCCGCCUUGUUUAGUUGGUAGGUUAACGGCUAUCAAGGCAACGAUGGGUUGACGAACUGAGAGGGUGAUCGGCCACACUGGAAGUGAGACGCGGUCCAGACUCCUACGAGAGGCAGCAGUAGGGAAUGUUACGCAAUGGGCGAAAGCAUGACGGAGCGACGCCGCGUGAGUGAUGAAGGUGUUCGGAUCGUAAUACUCGGUUAUUAGGGAAAAACAAAUGUGUAAGGAAAUAUGCACGGCUUGACGGUACCUAAUCAGAAAGCCACGGCUAACUACGUG